rnacentral:rRNA from 1 species
AGUGAACGCUGGCGGUAGGCCUAACACAUGCAAGUCGAACGGCAGCACAGGAGAGCUUGCUCUCUGGGUGGCGAGUGGCGGACGGGUGAGGAAUACAUCGGAAUCUACUCUGCCGUGGGGGAUAACGUAGGGAAACUUACGCUAAUACCGCAUACGACCUACGGGUGAAAGCAGGGGACCUUCGGGCCUUGCGCGAUUGAAUGAGCCGAUGUCGGAUUAGCUAGUUGGCGGGGUAAAGACCCACCAAGGCGACGAUCCGUAGCUGGUCUGAGAGGAUGAUCAGCCACACUGGAACUGAGACACGGUCCAGACUCCUACGGGAGGCAGCAGUGGGGAAUAUUGGACAAUGGGCGCAAGCCUGAUCCAGCCAUACCGCGUGGGUGAAGAAGGCCUUCGGGUUGUAAAGCCCUUUUGUUGGGAAAGAAAUCCAGCUGGCUAAUACCCGGUUGGGAUGACGGUACCCAAAGAAUAAGCACCGGCUAACUUCGUGCCAGCAGCCGCCGUAA